AGCAAGCCCCAAGCUUGCCCAUUGCGGGCAGAAAGGAUCCUCCUCGGAUCGUCACCGCUUGGCAGCCACGGAUCAUCUUCUCAGCAGCUCCCUUUUGUCCUCUGGACCGCUGAGGAGGAACCUCUCCCUGGUAGGCAAUGGUCUUACAGAUUGGAAAAAAAUCAACUCCAAAGCUGAAAACGUUGUGGAGAGAAGACCUCAUGUGGCUGGGCUGUGAAAGCCAAAUAAACUACUGCCUUGCUGAAUCCACCAGCUCGGAAGAGAUCUCCAGCUCAGCCGGUCCAUCCCAGCACCCAGACAGUGGCACUAAGUGCCCCCUCCGGGCUUUUUUUUGACGCCGUAGUGGUGAGCUGAAACACAGCUGUGGUGAGCUGAAACACAGCUGACAGGCAUCCAGCCAAGCACAAAGUAAAACACAAAAGCACAAGUCAAUGAUUCCCUACAUGUGUUUGCAGCACAUCAUAGAGUGGUCUGGGUUGUAAAGGGUCUCCAAAGGUCAUCCAGCCCAACCCCCCCUGCAUUAAGCAAGGACAUCCUCAGCUAGAUGAGGUUUCCCUGAGUCUUGUGGAGCUUCACCCUCCUGGCCCUUGAAUGCAUACAAACUAAUCAAGCCCUUGAUAGGUCAUUGCUGUUCCAGAGGGUGAAAAACUCCUUUCAGUGAUCCUUAGCAGCUCGUGUAUGGCUGUGUUCAUGCCCAGAACUGGCCAGCAAAAGAACUUGCUUAUGGAUGUAGUACUUACCCCCUUCUUACCCACCACAAAAGUUAAAUCAAUGUGAUGAGUUGUCAGAGGCAGAAAAUGUUAUGUGGUAACAGAGCUGCUCCUAUGCCUGUUUGGCUCAUAAUGAGUUACAGAAAUAGACACUUCACAACAUGCAGAGUGCUAUCAGGAGCUGUGUUUAAUCAGUGCUGGCUGACAAGGGGAGGUCUUCCUCCAAAGCCCUUGCACAGCUUCACCUUGUUCAGGUGAAAUGUCUGUGCUACAAGAU